UUUUUUUUAAACCCAACAAACCUCUCAAAGCCACACUUUAUUCUCUCUUUUAUUUUCCUCUGUAAAACAAAUUCAAUAGGGCGAUCAUUCACCGUCAAAGAUCCAUUUUAAGAUCCGGAAUCCGUGCCCGUAUUUUCCCUCUUAUGAUUCCACCUCCCCUGCCUGUUCAUUCCCCGAUUUCUUGACCGGCCGGUAACUCAUUGAGUUUUAUUUUGGUUGAUUUAAAAAGCUUGAUAUCCUACUGAGGAGGAUCUGUGGAGAUUCUUGUUAUUUGCUUUUAGUCUAGUGGAA